rnacentral:tRNA from 1 species
UGUAGUGACUCAGUGGUAGAGCACUUGCCUGGCAUGUGUGAGGCCCUGGGUUCAAUCCUCAGCACCAA